UUCAAUUUGACCUAAGUAUAAACCCUAACUUAAACAAAAUAAGUUUAGGAAAAUUUAUUUUUUGCAUAAAAAAUCAUGAGAAUUUACACAACGAAUCAGUCCCAGAACAAGAGAUACACAUAAAUCGAUCAUCUCUCCGGUUUCAACCCCUUCACCACCGGCACGCGGCGGCAACGAAACUUCCUUCCUCGGAAUCCAGUCCAGUUAACGGUGCACGUGGCGGAGAAGACAACACUCUAUCGAUCCCAAGGAUAUGAUAUGAUGAUUAUAAACGAUGUCACAAGCUCAAUGAACGCAAUGCAUUUGACCAACAGAGUUGACCAUGAAAAAAGAGAUAUGGAAAUUGAUGAUUUACAGACACCUAAGCUUGUUGAUGAAAUGGAGGUAACAAUUUCAGAUGGAAAACGGGAAAUGUAUGAAAUAUAUUUGGAACAUUUAUCAAAUGAAUCAACCGAAGAAAUGGAGAUUUACUUGAGCAUUAUGAGUGAUGUUGUUGGUGGAUAUGAGAAUGCAAUACAAGUAUUAGUGGGUAAUAAGCAUGAUAUGAAUAAUUGCUUUUUGGUCAACCUAACAAGAAGUGAGUUAGAGAAAUUAGUGAAAUUAGACAAUGAGAGAAUUCGGGGUAUCUACCCACCCUACAAACCCAUUAACCACAUAGGUUAAGUUGUACUGUGUUUUAUGUGUAACAUAAGUGAAGCUAUGCAGUUGAAUCAUCUUUAAAUAUAUAUACCUAGCUGGAUACAUA